GCCAGCGUAGUGUAGUUGUUGAGUGCUGGACUAUGACUCUGGAAACCAGGGUUCAAUUCCCAGCUUGGCC